CUUCCUUCUAGUAGAGGCUUUUAUAGAGACAGCCACAACCAGAGACAGGAGAAGAGGCCGGAUGUAUGCAACACAACAUCCAAGAAACAUGGCAAGGAAAUGGGGUUAAAAAUGAGAAAGUUGCUCAUAUAUAAUGAUUGCAAAAGGGUUUUAAAACUGUGUAAUUCCUGUGCUACACACCUGGUUUGGUUCCAACAGAAACUUCACAGUCAGAAUACGAAAUCUCCUCGAACACAACCAUUUCCAGCUCUAAUCCGACAAGGACACAGAAGAAGAUGGGUACUUGUCAUAAAACGAACAGCUAGCAGACCUUAAAAGGAACAUAAUAGGUCCCACAAAAUCGUCAGAAGCAGACCUCGACUGGUAGGAAAUUUGAGCCGAUCAAGAGCCCGAAAGGCCACAGGCUCAUCAGAGCAUACUAAAAAAAGGGAUAGAAGUCAAUAGAAAAUCCUCGACUCCAAACGUUACAAGAAGCAGCCACCAAUCCAACGUUAUUGAGCCAACCCAGAGCUAGAGGCAGACAAGAAAAAUCAUGAAUUGCACUGUGCGAAUCCACAGUGCAAUUCUCUGCGUGAAUGGAAGAUGCAACAGUGGAUUGCCCAAACCCUUUUGUUUUUCUUAAUUAUAUUACCUUCUCUUAUCACAAGAUUAAGAUCGCAUGCGAUAUUGUAUACAGUUAAAUUUUCAUAAAUGCAC
rnacentral:lncRNA from 1 species